ACUAUCGUUAACUGAAUACAUAGGUUAACGAGGCGAACCGGGGGAACUGAAACAUCUAAGUACCCCGAGGAAAAGAAAUCAACCGAGAUUCCCCCAGUAGCGGCGAGCGAACGGGGAGCAGCCCAGAGUCUGAAUCAGCUUGUGUGUUAGUGGAACGGUCUGGAAAGUCCGACGGUACAGGGUGAUAGUCCCGUACACCAAAAUGCACAGGCUGUGAACUCGAAGAGUAGGGCGGGACACGUGGUAUCCUGUCUGAAUAUGGGGGGACCAUCCUCCAAGGCUAAAUACUCCUGACUGACCGAUAGUGAACCAGUACCGUGAGGGAAAGGCGAAAAGAACCCCGGCGAGGGGAGUGAAAAAGAACCUGAAACCGUGUACGUACAAGCAGUGGGAGCACCUUCGGGUGUGACUGCGUACCUUUUGUAUAAUGGGUCAGCGACUUAUAUUCUGUAGCAAGGUUAACCGUAUAGGGGAGCCGCAGGGAAACCGAGUCUUAACUGGGCGUUAAGUUGCAGGGUAUAGACCCGAAACCCGGUGAUCUAGCCAUGGGCAGGUUGAAGGUUGGGUAACACUAACUGGAGGACCGAACCGACUAAUGUUGAAAAAUUAGCGGAUGACUUGUGGCUGGGGGUGAAAGGCCAAUCAAACCGGGAGAUAGCUGGUUCUCCCCGAAAGCUAUUUAGGUAGCGCCUCGUGAACUCAUCUUCGGGGGUAGAGCACUGUUUCGGCUAGGGGGUCAUCCCGACUUACCAACCCGAUGCAAACUACGAAUACCGAAGAAUGUUAUCACGGGAGACACACGGCGGGUGCUAACGUCCGUCGUGAAGAGGGAAACAACCCAGACCGCCAGCUAAGGUCCCAAAGUCAUGGUUAAGUGGGAAACGAUGUGGGAAGGCACAGACAGCCAGGAUGUUGGCUUAGAAGCAGCCAUCAUUUAAAGAAAGCGUAAUAGCUCACUGGUCGAGUCGGCCUGCGCGGAAGAUGUAACGGGGCUAAACCAUGCACCGAAGCUGCGGCAGCGACACUAUGUGUUGUUGGGUAGGGGAGCGUUCUGUAAGCCUGCGAAGGUGUGCUGUGAGGCAUGCUGGAGGUAUCAGAAGUGCGAAUGCUGACAUAAGUAACGAUAAAGCGGGUGAAAAGCCCGCUCGCCGGAAGACCAAGGGUUCCUGUCCAACGUUAAUCGGGGCAGGGUGAGUCGACCCCUAAGGCGAGGCCGAAAGGCGUAGUCGAUGGGAAACAGGUUAAUAUUCCUGUACUUGGUGUUACUGCGAAGGGGGGACGGAGAAGGCUAUGUUAGCCGGGCGACGGUUGUCCCGGUUUAAGCAUGUAGGCUGGUUGUCCAGGCAAAUCCGGAUAAUCAAGGCUGAGGUGUGAUGACGAGGCACUACGGUGCUGAAGUAACAAAUGCCCUGCUUCCAGGAAAAGCCUCUAAGCAUCAGGUAACAUCAAAUCGUACCCCAAACCGACACAGGUGGUCAGGUAGAGAAUACCAAGGCGCUUGAGAGAACUCGGGUGAAGGAACUAGGCAAAAUGGUGCCGUAACUUCGGGAGAAGGCACGCUGGUGUGUAGGUGAAGCCCCUGCGGGUGGAGCUGAGACCAGUCGAAGAUACCAGCUGGCUGCAACUGUUUAUUAAAAACACAGCACUGUGCAAACACGAAAGUGGACGUAUACGGUGUGACGCCUGCCCGGUGCCGGAAGGUUAAUUGAUGGGGUUAUCCGUAAGGAGAAGCUCUUGAUCGAAGCCCCGGUAAACGGCGGCCGUAACUAUAACGGUCCUAAGGUAGCGAAAUUCCUUGUCGGGUAAGUUCCGACCUGCACGAAUGGCGUAAUGAUGGCCAGGCUGUCUCCACCCGAGACUCAGUGAAAUUGAACUCGCUGUGAAGAUGCAGUGUACCCGCGGCAAGACGGAAAGACCCCGUGAACCUUUACUAUAGCUUGACACUGAACAUUGAGCCUUGAUGUGUAGGAUAGGUGGGAGGCUUUGAAGCGUGGACGCCAGUCUGCGUGGAGCCAACCUUGAAAUACCACCCUUUAAUGUUUGAUGUUCUAACGUUGGCCCCUUACCGGGGUUGCGGACAGUGUCUGGUGGGUAGUUUGACUGGGGCGGUCUCCUCCCAAAGCGUAACGGAGGAGCACGAAGGUUAGCUAAUCCUGGUCGGACAUCAGGAGGUUAGUGCAAUGGCAUAAGCUAGCUUGACUGCGAGCGUGACGGCGCGAGCAGGUGCGAAAGCAGGUCAUAGUGAUCCGGUGGUUCUGAAUGGAAGGGCCAUCGCUCAACGGAUAAAAGGUACUCCGGGGAUAACAGGCUGAUACCGCCCAAGAGUUCAUAUCGACGGCGGUGUUUGGCACCUCGAUGUCGGCUCAUCACAUCCUGGGGCUGAAGUAGGUCCCAAGGGUAUGGCUGUUCGCCAUUUAAAGUGGUACGCGAGCUGGGUUUAGAACGUCGUGAGACAGUUCGGUCCCUAUCUGCCGUGGGCGCUGGAGAAUUGAGGGGGGCUGCUCCUAGUACGAGAGGACCGGAGUGGACGCAUCACUGGUGUUCGGGUUGUCAUGCCAAUGGCACUGCCCGGUAGCUAAAUGCGGAAGAGAUAAGUGCUGAAAGCAUCUAAGCACGAAACUUGCCCCGAGAUGAGUUCU
rnacentral:rRNA from 1 species